rnacentral:rRNA from 1 species
UGCCUGCCCAGUGACAUUGUUAAACGGCCGCGGUAUCCUAACCGUGCAAAGGUAGCGUAAUCACUUGUCUUUUAAAUAAGGACUAGAAUGAAUGGCCAAACGAGGCUCUACCUGUCUCUUACAGAUAAUCAGUGAAAUUGAUCUUCCUGUGCAAAAGCAGGAAUAAUAAUAUAAGACGAGAAGACCCUGUGGAACUUUAAAUACAAAUUCAACUAUUAUUAACAUCUAACCCAAUAGGCCUAUAACAAAAUAGAAUUUGAUUUUUAUUUUCGGUUGGGGUGACCUCGGAGUAAAACAAAACCUCCGAAAAAUAAAAAAACUUUAAACCAAGAAUAACAGCUCAAAGUGCUCCCAGCAAAACGAUCCAAUAUACUUGAUCAACGAACCAAGCUACCCCAGGGAUAACAGCGCAAUCCCAUUUUAGAGUUCCUAUCGACAAUGGGGUUUACGACCUCGAUGUUGGAUCAGGACAUCCUGAUGGUGUAGCUGCUAUCAAGGGUUCGUUUGUUCAACGAUUAACAGUCCUA